GACGAACGCUGGCGGCGUGCUUAACACAUGCAAGUCGAACGAGUGACGAACGGGUGAGUAACACGUGGGUGCUUUUCCUUGCACUUCGGGAUAAGCUUGGGAAACUGGGUCUAAUACCGGAUAGUGCAAGAUGAGCUCGCGUCCUAUCAGCUUGUUGGUGGGGUAAUGGCUACCAAGGCGCGACGGGUAGCCGGCCUGAGAGGGUGUACGGCCACAGUGGGACUGAGAUACGGCCCAGACUACGACGGGCGGCAGCAGUGGGGAAUAUUGUACAAUGGGCGGAAGACUGCUGCAGCGACGAUGCGCAGGGGAUGAAUGGUCGCCGGUUGUAAACGCCUAUAAAAAGGGAAGUACCUGUAUAAGAAGCAUCAACUAAGUACGCAGCAGCAGCCGCGGUAAUUC
rnacentral:rRNA from 1 species